rnacentral:lncRNA from 1 species
GUACACCCUAUGUAAAUGAAGUAGUGGCCCGCAAUCAGUCUGAUUGGUUGCAGGAGGGGAACAAUCAGAGACUGAAGCAAAGUUACAGUUACACCCUAUGCAAACGACUAAUUGGUUGCAGAAAGUGAUGAAUCAGAGGCUGAAGUGAAGUUACAAAGUUAUACUCCUAUGCAAAGGAAGACUUGGCCUGUGACCAGCCUGAUUGACUGCAGGAGGGGACCAGUCAGAGGUGAGGAUGCUGAGAUGUAGAGAGACUGAUUUGCUCAAGAUAACAAAGAGUUUUAUUGAUUUGGGAACCCAUGGAAGGGGGUCAGCUGUGAGAUAUCACAUGAUCAGACUGACUGCCUGACCAGACUGACUGCCAUCCUGUUAAAGGAAUGAAUCACAGUUCAUCUCGCAGAUUUAUGGCAUGCCUACAGAAAAAGUACCUUAUGAUGCAAACCUGAAAGUUUAAAUAAUCUCCUGAAAGUUCCACAAUCAGCUGCAGAGAACUCCAGGAGCUGUUUUUAAAGAAGAUUAAGCUCUCACCCCUGCAGUACGCUUCUUUCCGUUGGGUUUCCUCCGCCUGUAAGUCACCUUUCUUGAAGGGGUAUCUUCAAGAAGACCCAAGCCUGCCUAGCUUUCCUGGUGUCCUCCUGGCCAUAGGAAACUCUCCUGUUUUUGUCUCACUGCACCGUUACCUCUUCUUUUCCAUACCAUUCUACUCCAGCCAGGUUCCAGCUUUCAUCAUUCUCCAGAGAAGACAUCUCCAUUUUCACAUAAGCUCCCCAACUCUCAAGAAGACAUGUCAAACUUCAAAGAACUUUUUUUACUAUGUGCUCCCAUGCUCUGAUGGCAACAUCUAAAUAGGUUUACAAGUUUCUGAAGUUCAGCAUGUGAAGGGGUCAAUGGGGGAACUGAGAUGCAGAUCCCCUUUUCUUGAGGACACCUCUAAUUUGGUUUCACAGAGCUGGGAGAUGGUGCUCCCUCCUCUCCUCCACAAAGAGAAAAGCCACGGCACACUUCCUCACUGCGGCCCCCUCUAAAAUCUUUCUCUAUUCAACUAACGUUCUUUUGAGUUAUUUUCCUUUAUGUGAUCUGGUUGCCAUACAGAGGAUGAAGCCCUCUUUUAUAAUAUAAACCCUGAAGGGCAUGUAUGGCAGGUUCUUAAUGUUCUCUUUGGAAUUUGAUGCUACAUAGCUUCUAAUAUACUGAAUUUUGGGACUCUAAACAACAUUCUAAAACAAUAGGAAAAGUCUUUCCAAUAUCAUGAUGUGAUCAUCAUUGCUGUUUC